CACAGUGCAGAGCCUCUGCUCUCCUGCUGGAGGAGGGCCACGUGCUCACAGGCACGUCCGCUCCUCUGCGUGCUGACUGCGGACUCCCAGGAGUCGGCCACCCUGGGCACACAGCGAGGGCCACUCAGAUCAGACGCCCCACAGGCGGCCACAGACACAAGAGGGCCCCGUUGCUCUGGAGGAACAGGUUCUCCUGCACGGAAUCUUCAUUUACUUAUUUUAAUUCUCUAAAAGGUCAUUUUGAAAUCUGAGGAACUGGGCCAAAUAUUUGCCCAAUCAAUUCCAGGCCAAGGGGUGUCACGGGUACUGAUGCAGAGCAAAGAGCCGGUGACCUUGCACUCAGCCCAGCGCUUCCGACGUCCAGCAGCGAGCUCAGGGACUGCCUCUGAGAGGCCUCAUCUAGUGGGCAGCGUGAUUGACAGGCCAGCUGUGUUUAUGGCAGAAUGACAGCCUGACACAAGGAGGAGAGGGCGCGGUUGUGUGGGACCUUGGGAGACGGAGACGGGGACCCACAUGAGAGAGCCCUGGAGGACAGAAGCUGCAGGCAACCUGAGAAGACAGCAGGACAUUCUGCAGCUGGUAUCACAGGACACGAGGGACUGUGUCCCUACGGGAUCUACCAGGAGAAAAGGAGGGAAAUGGAGAAGUGGGUGCUGAUCUAGAACCUUCUGGAAGCUCAAGUAGGAACUUCUGGGACCAGUGUCAGGAGAAGGGCCCUCAGAACAUCUCCAGUUUGGGGAAACUCCUGCUGGGAUCCUACAUGAAUAUUUUGAGUAGGAAAAGUGCCAAAUGAGAAGGAUUGGGGUCCCAGGGCAGCUGGCUUGAUGGGAAGAGAUUACCACUCAGAGGCGGCAGCUCCGGGGCCACAGGAUCGUGGUGAGAAUUGUGGAGCUGAUGCUCCCAGAGCAUCGUCUCAGGAUGUCACACGCAUAUUAAGUGUAUAGUUUUGCAGUGGUUCCCAGAGGCAGGGAACCAUCGUCAUCUCUAUCUUGUAGAUGGAGAUAUUGAGGCCCAGAGAGGUUGGAUAACUUCCUCUGAUCACACAGCUCUGUAGCAGCCGAGCUGGGAUUUGAGCCCAUGAUGUUGACUGUGCAAAGGGGGAGUAGAAUGGCCCAUUGGCUCGUGUUCGGAGGCUGAGCAGCUGAUGGUAAAGCGCUGUGGGCAUUCUUCUUCUGGACCUCAGAGCAGAAGGUGAGUUAGGCCCACAAAGACAGGAGAGGGGCCUGCUGGCUGGUCGGUCUCUGCUCUAACUGUCCCUGGAACUCCAUGUCCACAUUCAGAGAGGCCAGGCUCCCUCUGACCCACUGGCCCAAGUAAAUCCAGGGACGCUACCCAGGGAAUGCUUUUGCCAGAAACUACUGAGGUUGGCUGUAAACAAAGCCACUUCCAGCUACCCUGCCUCCUCCUGCAGCGGAGGGGACCUUCCUGGGAGAACUCACCCCGUGCACUGGCACACUGAAGAGCUCUGAGCUGUGUCACCGGGGGCAGGCUUCGGUACCCAGGGGGAAACUGAGGCCCAAGAGGGGGGAUGUGCUGGAGGUCCCAGAGCCCAUCUCUGCAGAGCCCAGGUGUGAACCAGGCUGCCGACUCGUGUCUCUGUCGCAUACACAGCCCUCUGUCCUGGGAGUCUCCCGGCACACCCCAUGGCCACAGGCAGGGGAGUCUCUUAUCCCACCUUCCAGGCCUCCAUCCAGCCUCCACGGCCUCCCAGCCCUGCUCUGGAACAAGGCACCAACCCCACGGGGCAGCUGGCUUCCCCUCCCCCCACGCCUGGAUGACCCCCUGCAACCUGGUGCUCCCCAUGCCCACCUAAAGGAGCAGGGCUCUAGGGUGCAGGGCAAGCCCCGGAGGGACAGGAGAAGGGCGCGUUUGUUGACAGUCCCCUAUUUCAGGACUCACGGUCAGCACGUGGUUUACUCGAGUGCCCACCUGGGAGGGCUCCCCACUACCGGCCACCUUCCCUUGCCCACACCUCGGCCCUACCCUCCAGGCCCCUUCUUUGCUCAUCCCCAACUCUGAACGCAGCUGCUCACCCUCAGUGCUCCCGGCCACGUCAGCCUGCGGGGAACAGGCAGGCCUCUCCUGGGGUGGGGGGCUAUCGUUCUCUGGGGUUGACCAUCUUGCCCAGAGGGGACACCCUGGGUACUGGUGAAAUAGGCCGCCCGGGGAAGGGCCAAUUGAGACAGAGGACCCGCUGGCUGCUCCUGGCCGACAGGAAGCAGAGCCCGUGGUGUUGACAGAGGUGCCGUGGUGACUGCUGCCUCCCUGCGGACUUCACUCACUCCCAGGGUGGCCUUGUGAAGCUCUGAGAGAGAAACCACAGGUGUCAUCUCCCAGACAGGAUGGCAGGGUGGCUGGGCAGGGCCAGGGUGGGAGGCCGGAGCUGCAGGUGAUCAGCACCUCUGUGCCAGGCUCCCAAAGCCACCUGCUGGGACUCUACACAUUGGGUGGCUGCUGGCACAGUAAUGCAGUGUAAUGACAGCUGUCAUGAACGGAGCCCCCAGUGUCCCGUGGGUAUGUGUUUGAGGGAGUCUCAUGUAACCCUCACAGCCAUCCUAUGAGGUCAGUAGUAGUAUGUCCUUUGUGCAGCUGAGGACAAGUAAAGCUGGAACCAGGGGCCCCCAGAGUCAUCUCUCAGACUGUACCCUCUGGUGCGUGUCUGCACCCCUCANCAGCGAG
rnacentral:lncRNA from 1 species